rnacentral:snRNA from 1 species
AACAAAAAACUGAAAUAGUACAGAGAAGAUUAUCAUGGUUCCUACACAAGGAUGACAGGCAAAUUCAUGAAGUGUUCCAUGUUAAA